UUGGAGGGCAAGUCUGGUGCCCGCAGCCGCGGUAAUUCCAGCUCCAAUAGCGUAUAUUAAAGUUGUUGCAGUUAAAAAGCUCGUAGUUGAAUUUCGGGGUUAGUAGGUUGGUCAUGCCUCUGGUAUGUACUGGUCUCACUGAUUCCUCCUUCCUGAUGAGCCGUAAUGCCAUUAAUUUGGUGUUGCGGGGAAUUUGGACUGUUACUUUGAAAAAAUUAGAGUGUUUAAAGCAAGCUAACGCUUGAAUACAUUGGCAUGGAAUAAUGAAAUAGGACGUCCGAUCCUAUUUUGUUGGUUUCUAGGAUUGACGUAAUGAUUAAUAGGGAUAGUUGGGGGCAUUAGUAUUCAAUUGUCAGAGGAGAAAUUCUUGGAUUUAUUGAAGACUAACUACUGCGAAAGCAUUUGCCAAGGAUGUUUUCAUUAAUCAAGAACGAAAGUUAGGGGAUCGAAGACGAUCAGAUACCGUCGUAGUCUUAACCAUAAACUAUGCCGACUAGGGAUCGGAUGAUGUUAAUUUUUUAAUGACUCAUUCGGCGCCUUACGGGAAACCAAAGUGUUUGGGUUC
rnacentral:rRNA from 1 species